rnacentral:piRNA from 1 species
GCUAAUAACGCCAAGGUCGCGGG